rnacentral:misc_RNA from 1 species
GGGCCAAUAUCGACAAGGUCUUAGACAUGGAUUUGGAGUAUACAAGUUCUUCACGGGGGAUUCCUAUGCCGGUGAGUGGUGCAAUGGCCAAAGCCACGGCGUUGGGUUUCAGACUUGCGCUGAUGGUAGCUGCUAUGUUGGCGAGUUCAAGCGCGGCGUUAAGCAUGGUCUUGGAUGUUACUAUUUCAGAAAUGGAGAUAGAUACGCUGGAGAAUACUUCGGG